AUACCGCAUAAGCCCACAGGUCGGCAUCGACCAGAGGGAAAAGGAGCAAUCCGCUUUGAGAUGGCCUCGCGUCCGAUUAGCUAGUUGGUGAGGUAAUGGCCCACCAAGGCGACGAUCGGUAGCCGGACUGAGAGGUUGAACGGCCACAUUGGGACUGAGACACGGCCCAGACUCCUACGGGAGGCAGCAGUGGGGAAUAUUGCACAAUGGGGGAAACCCUGAUGCAGCGACGCCGCGUGGAGGAAGAAGGUCUUCGGAUUGUAAACUCCUGUUGUUGAGGAAGAUAAUGACGGUACUCAACAAGGAAGUGACGGCUAACUACGUGCCAGCAGCCGCGGUAAAACGUAGGUCACAAGCGUUGUCCGGAAUUACUGGGUGUAAAGGGAGCGCAGGCGGGAAGACAAGUUGGAAGUGAAAUCUAUGGGCUCAACCCAUAAACUGCUUUCAAAACUGUUUUUCUUGAGUAGUGCAGAGGUAGGCGGAAUUCCCGGUGUAGCGGUGGAAUGCGUAGAUAUCGGGAGGAACACCAGUGGCGAAGGCGGCCUACUGGGCACCAACUGACGCUGAGGCUCGAAAGUGUGGGUAGCAAACAGGAUUAGAUACCCUGGUAGUCCACACCGUAAACGAUGAUUACUAGGUGUUGGAGGAUUGACCCCUUCAGUGCCGCAGUUAACACAAUAAGUAAUCCACCUGGGGAGUA
rnacentral:rRNA from 1 species